rfam:Triticum aestivum genome assembly, contig: Triticum_aestivum_CS42_TGACv1_scaffold_556786_7AL
GAAGUACUCCUUCCGUCCUAAAAUUCUUGCCUUAGAUUUGUCUAAAUACGGAUGUAUCAAGUCAUAUUUUAAUAUUAGAUAUAGCCGUAUCUAGACAAAUAUAAGACAAGAAUUUUGGGAUGGUGGGAGUAUUAU